rnacentral:rRNA from 1 species
AUUGAACGCUAGCGGCAUGCUUAACAAAUGCAAGUCGAACGAGAGGCGGACGGGUGAGUAAUAUAUGGGAAACUGCCCGAUGGCGGGGGAUAACUACUCGAAACGGUAGCUAAUACCGCAUACCAUCAGAUGGGCCGAGAUGGGAUUAGCUAGUAGGUGGGGUAAUGGCUCACCUAGGCGACGAUCCCUAGCUGGUGUGAGAGGACGACCAGCCACACUGGGACUGAGACACGGCCCAGACUCCUACGGGAGGCAGCAGUGGGGAAUAUUGGACAAUGGGGGAAAGCCUGAUCCAGCCAUCCCGCGUGUAUGAAGAAGGCCUUCGGGUUGUAAAGUACUUUUAGCAGAGAAGCGGUAUCUGCAGAAUAAGCACCGGCUAACUACGUGCCAGCAGCCGCGGUAAUUC